rnacentral:rRNA from 1 species
AUAUACAUCCCUACAACAUUAAUGCACCAGAUCCCAUCGAAACUCUGUAGUUAAGUGCACUUGGGAUAGAGUAGUAUUGGGAUGGGUGACCUCAUGAGAAUUCUUAGUGUUUUACAUG